GACGAACGCUGGCGGCGUGCUUAACACAUGCAAGUCGAACGCUGAAGCUUGGUGCUUGCACUGGGUGGAUGAGUGGCGAACGGGUGAGUAAUACGUGAGUAACCUGCCCUUGACUCUGGGAUAAGCCUGGGAAACUGGGUCUAAUACUGGAUACGACAUGUCACCGCAUGGUGGUGUGUGGAAAGGGUUUUACUGGUUUUGGAUGGGCUCACGGCCUAUCAGCUUGUUGGUGGGGUAAUGGCUCACCAAGGCGACGACGGGUAGCCGGCCUGAGAGGGUGAACGGCCACAAGGGGACUGAGACACGGCGCAGACUCCUACGGGAGGCAGCAGUGGGGAAUAUUGCACAAUGGGCGGAAGCCUGAUGCAGCGACGCCGCGUGAGGGAUGACGGCCUUCGGGUUGUAAACCUCUUUCAGCACGGAAGAAGCGAAAGUGACGGUACGUGCAGAAGAAGCGCCGGCUAACUACGUG
rnacentral:rRNA from 1 species